UCUUGGCCAGCCUUCUGAAAGGAAGAUUAAUCCAGGAUGGGAUCAUGAGUUCACAUGUCCGCAUGAUUAAAGGUAUUUUCCGGUAGACGAUGGGGAUGCGUUCCAUUAGAUAGUAGGCGGGGUAACGGCCCACCUAGUCAACGAUGGAUAGGGGUUCUGAGAGGAAGGUCCCCCACAUUGGAACUGAGACACGGUCCAAACUCCUACGGGAGGCAGCAGUGAGGAAUAUUGGUCAAUGGGCGAUGGCCUGAACCAGCCAAGUAGCGUGAAGGAUGACUGCCCUAUGGGUUGUAAACUUCUUUUAUAAAGGAAUAAAGUCGGGUAUGCAUACCCGUUUGCAUGUACUUUAUGAAUAAGGAUCGGCUAACUCCGUGCCAGCAGCCGCGGUAAUACGGAGGAUCCGAGCGUUAUCCGGAUUUAUUGGGUUUAAAGGGAGCGUAGAUGGAUGUUUAAGUCAGUUGUGAAAGUUUGCGGCUCAACCGUAAAAUUGCAGUUGAUACUGGAUGUCUUGAGUGCAGUUGAGGCAGGCGGAAUUCGUGGUGUAGCGGUGAAAUGCUUAGAUAUCACGAAGAACUCCGAUUGCGAAGGCAGCCUGCUAAGCUGCAACUGACAUUGAGGCUCGAAAGUGUGGGUAUCAAACAGGAUUAGAUACCCUGGUAGUCCACACGGUAAACGAUGAAUACUCGCUGUUUGCGAUAUACGGCAAGCGGCCAAGCGAAAGCGUUAAGUAUUCCACCUGGGGAGUACGCCGGCAACGGUGAAACUCAAAGGAAUUGACGGGGGCCCGCACAAGCGGAGGAACAUGUGGUUUAAUUCGAUGAUACGCGAGGAACCUUACCCGGGCUUAAAUUGCACUCGAAUGAUCCGGAAACGGUUCAGCUAGCAAUAGCGAGUGUGAAGGUGCUGCAUGGUUGUCGUCAGCUCGUGCCGUGAGGUGUCGGCUUAAGUGCCAUAACGAGCGCAACCCUUGUUGUCAGUUACUAACAGGUGAUGCUGA
rnacentral:rRNA from 1 species